AGGGCGCACGGUGGAUGCCUUGGCACUAGGAGCCGAUGAAGGACGGAACUAAUACCGAUAUGCUUCGGGGAGCUAUAAGUAAGCUUUGAUCCGGAGAUUUCCGAAUGGGGGAACCCAGUACACAUCAGUGUAUUGCCUGCAAGUGAAUACAUAGCUUGUUGGCGGCAGACGCGGGGAACUGAAACAUCUCAGUACCCGCAGGAAGAGAAAGAAAACUCGAUUCCCAUAGUAGCGGCGAGCGAAGUGGGAAGAGCCCAAACCGAGAAGCUUGCUUCUCGGGGUUGUAGGACUGGACAUUGGAGUUACCAAAGUUCGACGUAGUCGAAGUCAGCUGGAAAGCUGCGCCAUAGAAGGUGAAAGCCCUGUAAACGAAACGGCGGACUCUCCGUCCAGGAUCCUGAGUACGGCGGAACACGUGAAAUUCCGUCGGAAUCCGGGAGGACCAUCUCCCAAGGCUAAAUACUCCCUAGUGACCGAUAGUGAACCAGUACCGUGAGGGAAAGGUGAAAAGCACCCCGGAAGGGGAGUGAAACAGUUCCUGAAACCGUGUGCCUACAAUUAGUCAAAGCCCGUUAACGGGUAAUGGCGUGCCUUUUGUAGAAUGAACCGGCGAGUUACGUUUGCCUGCGAGGUUAAGAUGAAAAGUCGGAGCCGGAGCGAAAGCGAGUCUGAACAGGGCGCUUCAGUAGGUAGAUGUAGACCCGAAACCAAGUGACCUACCCAUGACCAGGUUGAAGGUGUGGUGAAACACACUGGAGGACCGAACCCAUGUAUGUUGAAAAAUGCUGGGAUGAGUUGUGGGUAGCGGUGAAAUUCCAAACGAACUUGGAGAUAGCUGGUUCUCUCCGAAAUAGCUUUAGGGUUAGCCUCGGAGGAUGGAUCAUGGAGGUAGAGCACUGUUUGAACUAGGGGCCCGUCAAGGGUUACUGAAUUCAGAUAAACUCCGAAUACCAUUGAUCUUACUCCGGGAGUCAGACAGUGAGCGAUAAGGUCCAUUGUCGAAAGGGGAACAGCCCAGAUCACCAGUUAAGGUCCCUAAAUUUAUGCUAAGUGGAAAAGGAUGUGGCGUUGCACAGACAACUAGGAUGUUGGCUCAGAAGCAGCCACCAUUUAAAGAGUGCGUAAUAGCUCACUAGUCGAGUGGCACUGCGCCGAAAAUAUACCGGGGCUAAGCAUAAUACCGAAACUGUGGGUGCACCCGUCAGGGUGCGCGGUAGGAGAGCGUUCUAAGGGCGUUGAAGGUCGAUCGUGAGGACGGCUGGAGCGCUUAGAAGUGAGAAUGCCGGCAUGAGUAGCGAAAGAUCAGUGAGAAUCUGAUCCACCGUAUGACUAAGGUUUCCUGGGGAAGGCUCGUCCUCCCAGGGUUAGUCGGGAUCUAAGGCGAGGCCGCAAGGCGUAGUCGAUGACAAGCAGGUUGAGAUUCCUGCACUAGUUUAUUUUGUUUAAGCGAUGGAGGGACGCAGGAGGCUAAGGAAAGCGCACGGCUGGAAAAGUGCGUCCAAGCAGUAAGUCCGGUAGCGAGUGAAAUGCUUGCCGCCUUAAGGACAAGCUGUGAUGGGGAGCGAAAUUAAAGUAGCGAAGUUCCUGAUGUCACACUGCCAAGAAAAGCUUCUAGUGAGAAAUAAACUACCCGUACCGCAAACCGACACAGGUAGUCGAGGAGAGUAUCCUCAGGUGAGCGAGCGAACUCUCGUUAAGGAACUCGGCAAAAUGACCCCGUAACUUCGGAAGAAGGGGUGCUGACCGCAAGGUCAGCCGCAGUGAAUAGGCCCAAACAACUGUUUAUCAAAAACACAGGUCUCUGCUAAAUCGUAAGAUGAUGUAUAGGGGCUGACGCCUGCCCGGUGCUGGAAGGUUAAGAGGAUGAGUUAGCGCAAGCGAAGCCCAGAAUUGAAGCCCCAGUAAACGGCGGCCGUAACUAUAACGGUCCUAAGGUAGCGAAAUUCCUUGUCGGGUAAGUUCCGACCCGCACGAAAGGCGUAAUGAUUUGGGCACUGUCUCAACGAGAGACUCGGUGAAAUUAUAGUACCCGUGAAGAUGCGGGUUACCCGCGACAGGACGGAAAGACCCCAUGGAGCUUUACUGUAGCUUGAUAUUGAGUGUUGGUACCGCUUGUACAGGAUAGGUAGGAGCCGUAGAGAUCGGAACGCUAGUUUCGAUGGAGGCAUUGGUGGGAUACUACCCUAGCUGUAUGAACACUCUAACCCGCGCCACUGAUCGUGGCGGGAGACAGUGUCAGGUAGGCAGUUUGACUGGGGCGGUCGCCUCCUAAAAUGUAACGGAGGCGCCCAAAGGUU
rnacentral:rRNA from 1 species